ensembl:snRNA U4 U4 spliceosomal RNA
AGCUUUGCUCAGUGGCAGUACAGCCAAUGAGGUUUAUCUGAGGCGCAAUUAUUACUAAUUGAAAACUUUUCCCAAAACCCCGCCGUGAUGACUUGCUAUACAGUUGGCAAUGACAAUUUUUGACAGUCUCUACGGAGA